rnacentral:lncRNA from 1 species
GUAGUAACAAAUUGGAAGCACUUAUGUUAGAACUGAAGAGAAAAUAUGGAAAAACUUAAACAUAUACGAAACUGUAAAAUAUUACUUAGUAAUGUGUAGCUAUGGAUAACCCUGUCUGGACUCAGUCAGAGAUGGAGUGGAGGAAGAACAAGAAGAAAAUAUAUCUGGAAGGUUGAUGGUUUUCAUAAGGUGAAUAAUUCAUUUCUAAGU